UUUACUUUUUUUUAGGACCCAACUGGCUGGAUAGACCUCGAACAAUGUGUUGGAUCAGGAGGAUUUGGAGUAAUCCAUAAGGCAUGGCAUUUUAAGGAAAAGAAAGAAGUGGCCAUAAAAGUGAUAAAAGACCUUAGGGAUAAUGAAGAGAUCCUUGCUGAACUGUACGUACUUGAACGCGUUUCUGGCCACGACAACUUCCCUGCCUUUUAUGGAGCCUUUUAUC